UAGAUCAGAUCAGGAAGCUUUGUUUCAAAAUCAAAAGCAUGUUUACAGUGGCUGAUUUGUAUUGUAGCAUUUCAACAGUAUCCACCGUGCACACGCAUUGCCGUUUAAAAAGUUCCCAGAAGUAAAGUGAUGUGUACAGCUACAGUAUCUAUAGGCCUAGUAGUAUUAAUUAUCGAAUUUCUGAAUGUUUCUAAAGGGAGGCCGCAUAAAUUAGGCAACACAUUUAUAACUUAAUUUUAAAAUGUCAAAUACGUAACCAAUUCAUAUCUUAAUUUUAAAAUAGAGCCUAUAGCUUUGAACAUAGGCCUACUGCAUAAUUUGAUAAGAUAUUUGGUGUUUAUUGCGAUCGUGUUACAUUUAAUAACGUAUAUCAUCAUCUUCAUCAUCACCACCAUCAUCAUCAUCAUCGUCAUCAUUAUGUAACCAACAACAUAUACAAAAUACACAAUUAAUUUCAUAUGAAAAUUAAAUUUAUUGCUGUAAUUAACUGCAUAUGAAAUACAACAAAGUUACUUUCUAUUUACAUAUCUGUACAUCUUCAUCAUCUUUUUGUUAUUCAAGUUAAUUACAUAAUUGUUUCAAGAUUUUUUUUAUCAUUAUCAUCAUUAUCUUAUCUGUAUUAUCGAAUUAUUAUCAACCUCUAAUCCAGAUCGCGGAUAUUAGCGACAUAGCUGAGCGUUCGCCAGAGCGGUAGUGCUCCCAUAAGUCCAUCGUCUCCGGGUAGCCAUCUUUGAUGAUGCCCACUGUGCUCGUGUAGCAUCCUCUCUGUAAACUAGUUCCGCAGUUAUCUCCACGUUCAGAGACUCAUGAUGAAGUAGUUUUAUCAUAAGAUACAACUGGACCUUUGCUAAAAAAUAUAGAGAAAUAUAAAGAUUACUUAUUGAUAAUUAUAAUAGUUGCCAUCAUUUAAUUAGUCGUUCAUCACCAUAUUAGUUGUCCAUCCGAGCAUAACAAUAAAGAUAAAUAAAUUCCAAGUACAAGAACAUUAACUAAUAAUAAAUUAAUUAAAUACUUACCAUGUCGACUCUUUCGAUUAAGCCUAGUUGUUAUGAUAUCCGUCGAGGUCAUUGUUUGUUCUUGUUUGCUGUCCGUAAAUCGACCAGUCUGUUGGUGAAAACGUGUUCCCGACUACCCAUGUUGUCCACAUGUACAUCAUCAUUUAUCGGAUCGGCGGUGUGUUUCCAGCAUUCCUCUGUAGGUAAUGGAAUACUGGUUCAAUGCGCUCGAUCGGUAAUAGCGGCAAAGCCAUCAACUGUUUCACCAACUUAACAGAAAAAACGAAAACAUACAAUACAACGCAAUCACUUACCUGUGUGUGUACUAGCAUCCUGAGCAUAGGCACGCUGUAGACCAAUCUCCUGCACCAUCUUGUAUACCCUCUGCAAAAAUAAGCAUAGAUCAGUUAAUUUUGACAGAAAUUUUUGAAAAAAUAUAUAUAUAAAAGAAACCGACUUUAAAGGUACGUACCUGCGUAAAAUGGAAUAAACAUCCAGUCGUCGUUGCACCUGGCAAAAUCCAUGAUGGCUUCUAGAACAGCAACGUAGUCGUUUCGGCUCCUGCCAGACAUCAUCACGAAAACUAAUGGAACCUGUUUGAUGCAACGUCCAGAUGUUACGAAGCUGUGAACACUAAAAAGCUGCAUGAAGGGCGCCUUUACUAACUUAGUAGCAUCCACGUACCUUUUAAACUGGAACUAAAGAUUGGCGAUAUAUAAGGUCCAACUGAAAGCAUUUUAUUAGGUAGGACAUAAAUUAAUGAGGUAACAGGAGUGCUCCGACAAAAUUUUGAUUGCCAUAUAUUAGAUUACAUGCGUUUUUAUUUUAACAAUAUAUAAUUUGAAAACUGUAUAUUUGCAAUACUUUUUUUCCUUUAUUUUCAUCUUAUUAUGACUUGCUAGGAAUUUUUGUCUCCACCAUAAUGGCAAGUUGUAAUUGUCUUCAUGCUGACCUAGCUGCUGGCUGCCUCUCAUCAAACCUAAAGUUUAUUCAAAGGUGCUUUGUACGAGCUUGUAGUUAUGAUCAGAAUAUACCCAGUCAAAGGCUUGGCAAGGAAAGAAAACUCGUUCAUAAAACAACAUCCCAAACAAUGACCGCACAGUAAGCAAACAUUAGACCGUAGCGGCAGAGUCUUAUCACACACAAGUUAUGGGUCGAUAUUAUAAAUGAUUAAAUUUCAAUAGAAAUAUAUUUAACAGUUAUAUAUACAAUAUACACCAGCAAAUUUUUAAAGCCCUUUCAAUUAUUUUUUUUAAACCAAAAAAUAUAUAGCUGUGUAUACGUUACUAAACAAAUUUUAAUGUUUUUUAGUGACUGAGUGAUAAUAUAUGCCUAUAGUUAUAGUAACAAUCGAAUUAAUUUUGUGAGUAUAUAAAAAAGUAAUAAGGAUUAGUCAAAAAUUAUACAAGCAUGCAUGUAUAGCUAUAAAAAUAUAUAGCACGUCACUAAAAUAAUUUUAAUGUUUUUUAGUGACUGAGUGAUAAAUGCUUUAUGCCUACUGUAUAGUUAUAGUAUCAAUCGAAUUAAGUUUUGCGAGUAUAUAAAAAAGUAAUAAGAAUUAUUCAAAAAUUGUACUUGUUAAUGUUUAAGUACAUGCAUUUACAAUAUCACUAAUGUAAAGUACAUGUAUUUGUAUUAUAUAUUUCAUUUUUAAUUAGUGUUAUACUUGUUCAUUUUAGUUCAUAUUUAGGUAUUCUUAUGUGAUUUAUGUGUAUUGCAAAUUAUUUAAUGAAAUAUGUAGCGAAAUAAUUUAUA